rnacentral:lncRNA from 1 species
CUGCUUGCCGAGUUGAGAUAUAGUUGAAUUUUGUAACUACGAGGAUUCAGUUGAGUCCCAAGAUGAUCGCUGGGUCAUACAGCCAAUGUUUAUCAUUUGAGUGCGUCAUGCAUAGAAGGAGAAAUUAAAAUGGACGAAAUUGAUAAGUUUGAACUCGAUUCGAUUCAAAAUAUCGAAGUUCGAAAUUUAACUCAAAAUUGAUAAGGCCUUGAUAUUUU